rnacentral:ncRNA from 1 species
ACUCGCAUGGUGUGAGUUUUAUGCGGAAAUCCAACCGCGUACAGCCUAGAACGCUGUUUUUCAUCAAGGAGAAAACAAAAUG